AUCUCCACAGCCGACUCACCCGUCUUCACCUCCUUCGAAGCCAUUGAAAGAAAUAGACUGUUGUUUAACAGACAAAAAGAAAAGGUCAAAUUUAUCCAGUAAACACACUCGGAUAGUGGCUGAUGAUUUCUAUUGUCACCCACAAAAUAUACAAAUUAAAUCAAAAUCAAAAUUUUUGGACAUAAUUAUUACAACCAACUGCAAAUAUAUUUAUAGCGUUCAUUACAUUCAAUCAUCAUAUAACAUGCAAGGCUCAUGCAUGCAACACCAUUACACCAUAUAUAUAUAUGUGGAUGAUAAACAUCCUUAUUCGACCCGAAUAGUUUUAUUUAUUUAUUUAUUUAUUUUGCAUGUUUGUUUAUAUAUAUAAUAAUAUUAUUUUUAAUUAGUAAGGACGCUGGCCGAUGAUGUUGCCGCGGGGGGCAUAGCUGCAGCA